rnacentral:rRNA from 1 species
AAACGAGACCAUAGCGCUUUGGACCCACCUGACUCCAUGCCGAACUCAGUAGUGAAACGAAGCAGCGCCGAUGGUAGUGUGGGGUCUCCCCAUGUGAGAGUAGGACAUCGCCAGGC